AUUGAACGCUGGCGGCAUGCUUUACACAUGCAAGUCGAACGGUAACAGGCCGCAAGGUGCUGACGAGUGGCGAACGGGAGAGUAAUGCAUCGGAACGUGCCCAGUCGUGGGGGAUAACUACUCGAAAGAGUAGCUAAUACCGCAUACGAUCUAUGGAUGAAAGCGGGGGACCGUAAGGCCUCGCGCGAUUGGAGCGGCCGAUGUCAGAUUAGGUAGUUGGUGGGGUAAAGGCUCACCAAGCCAACGAUCUGUAGCUGGUCUGAGAGGACGACCAGCCACACUGGGACUGAGACACGGCCCAGACUCCUACGGGAGGCAGCAGUGGGGAAUUUUGGACAAUGGGCGCAAGCCUGAUCCAGCAAUGCCACGUGCAGGAAGAAGGCCUUCGGGUUGUAAACUGCUUUUGUACGGAACGAAACGGCUCUGGUUAAUACCCGGGGCUAAUGACGGUACCGUAAGAAUAAGCACCGGCUAACUACGUG
rnacentral:rRNA from 1 species